rnacentral:rRNA from 1 species
AUUGAACGCUGGCGGCAGGCCUAACACAUGCAAGUCGAGCGGUUGAGGUAGCUUGCUACCGAUACAGCGGCGGACGGGUGAGUAAUGCAUGGGAAUCUGCCUGGUAGUGGGGGACAACGUUUCGAAAGGAACGCUAAUACCGCAUACGCCCUACGGGGGAAAGGGGGGGAUCUUCGGACCUCUCGCUAUCAGAUGAGCCCAUGUCAGAUUAGCUAGUUGGUGGGGUAAAGGCCUACCAAGGCGACGAUCUGUAACUGGUCUGAGAGGAUGAUCAGUCACACUGGAACUGAGACACGGUCCAGACUCCUACGGGAGGCAGCAGUGGGGAAUAUUGGACAAUGGGCGAAAGCCUGAUCCAGCCAUGCCGCGUGUGUGAAGAAGGCCCUAGGGUUGUAAAGCACUUUCAGUGGGGAGAAAGGCCUUUUACUUAAUACGUAAGAGGAUUGAUGUUACCCACAGAAGAAGCACCGGCUAACUCCGUGCCAGCAGCCGCCGCCG